UACGGAGGGGGCGAGCGUUAUUCGGAAUUAUUGGGCCUAAAGCAUCCGUAGCCGGUUCUGCAAGUCCCCCGUUAAAUCCAGCUGCUCAACAGAUGGGCCGCGGAGGAUACUACAGAGCUAGGAGGCAGGAGAGGCAAGCGGUACUCAGUGGGUAGGGGUAAAAUCCGUUGAUCCAUUGAAGACCACCAGUGGCGAAGGCGGCUUGCCAGAAUGCGCUCGACGGUGAGGGAUGAAAGCUGGGGGAGCAAACCGG
rnacentral:rRNA from 1 species